rnacentral:rRNA from 1 species
GUCUACGGCCAUGCCGCCCGAUGUCUGAUCUCGGAAGCUAAGCAGGGUCAGGCCUGGUUAGUACUUGAAUGGGAGACCACCUAGGAAGACCAGGUGCUGUAGGCA